rnacentral:lncRNA from 1 species
GGGGAUAAAGGUAAGAGCAAUACAGUAGGAAUGUGGAGACUGGCUCUACCAUGAAAUUUACCAUGUGAAAGUGCACAUCAAGUGAUGAACUUCUUCAUGCCUCAGUUUUCUCAUUUACUGUGAAAUGUUUGGAUUGGACUAUAUAACCUCUAGAUCCCUUCUAUCUAUGAAAGGCUAUAAUUCAGUAUUAUGAAGGCUGUAUGCUCAAGUCCUUGGAAACUGAAUGGGUCAUACUCACUUCUAUUUAUAAUUUGGUUUUUAUCUUUGCACUCAAUGCUCUUUGGAGAAAUGUAGAUUUCCAUUCCUAAAUUUUUCUAACCAACAAAGGAAAAGCUCUAUUUUAGUUUGUUUGACAAAGAAACGUCUAUAACUAGAUUGAGUUUCCCAUAUAAUAUUUGCUUUGCCUUCUUCCAUCUUUGCCUAAAAAAGGAGUUUCUAAAAAACCAGAAAUGCUUUCUGUACUCAGGCAUAGCAGGAAUGAGGCUGCCUUGGCUGAAGGAAGAAGAUGGUGCAUAUCUGGAGCCCCAGUGGAGCAGGACUAUUUGCCAUCUGCUGCACUAGUUGCCUCGUCUCCAUAUCAGGCCUGGUCUGUAGUUUGCUGCAAAUACUAGGAGCCGAGCCACUUCCCACCCAUGGCAAGCCUUGAACCCUUUGUAUUCUGGCUGCCAAGAUGAUCUGAAAGCAGGGAGCCACUUUUCAGCUUAGGGAAAAACAUGUGCAUUAAAUGGAAGUAGAUUCUUCUUUUCCCUCCCUCUUGCCACUCCCAGCCAUUUUUAAAGCUUUAUACUAAAAAGGAGGAAGAUCCGUCUGACAAAGCUGAGGAAGAUGAUGGAAUUGCCAGGCCAGAAUGGUUUAUUAAUGAUCCAUGGGAAAAAAAACAAUUGUCCUGCUGGCAGCUUCACAUGUAAUUAACCAGCUUCACAGAGAGCUGGCUGCCUUCUCCAGGCCUGGCAUCCGCAUACUGCAGAGCUACCUGACACAGCAACACUGGGUUUCUAACAAAAUCUCGCUACUGGGAGAGGGGCAUCUAAAAUAGUGACCUCAACCCACUCGGCGCUCAGGAAACAAGACUGAGAUGGCAGUGCUCCUCCGGAGAAGGCUGGCUGUGUGCUCGGGCUGACACAAAGACUGCGACCUCCAUGCUGGCAACAACCAGCCCUGGGAACUGCCACUCCCACUGCUCACCAUUAACUGCCCACUCAGAGAACACUCACCAAAGCUCAAGAAGCAGUGACUAUUCAGGAUGAUUACAGAGUUUCAGCUUGCUUUUCAAGUGGCUCGGAAUAAAGAUGCCUGGAUCUAGAUCUUACUAUCAUACAGCUUUAUUUGUAAAGAAGAAAAUAUGUAAGUAAACACCAUUUGUAGUUACUGUAUGAAAAAAAUCCUCAUUGAUUCUUUUAGAAAAUACACUUAUGUAAUAUAUUACAACUAGAUCUUCCUAAGUUAACCAAGUAUUGUAGUUUUAAUUUUGUGAAGCAGGUGUGUAUAUAUUUUACAUUAUUUAUACAUUUAGUAACAAUCAGGAUAAAAUGCUAGGGCUGUGGAAAAACAUACAGUGGACCCACAUACGAGUGAAUUUACACUGUCCAAAAUGAUAGGGCUGUAUUUAAUUAAUGCCCUCUCUUGGCAGGAAGAAGGAAAGCUGACUUUGUUAGGGUUUGAGGCACCCUCUGCCAGAGAUGUGCCUACACCUCCCAAGUCCAGGUGGAGAGGAAUGGACACAUUUGGUACUAAAAAAUUCUUCUCCCAAGACCAAACUUCUCUUGGGAUUCCCCUAAGCUUUAUCCCAGGAUGUUUCUGGGCAGCUGGCAGAAUAGUAUUGAAACUCACAGAAGUUGAGUUUUCAUUUCAAUUUCACUGUAGCACUGCAGCACCUGAUAUAAUCCCUUAAAGACUCUCAGUCUGGUCCUAAUCUCUCUCCUAAAAUACAACACAGGGAAGAUCUGAAUAUAGAUUGCAACCUGGUCCAUUUGUUCUUCCUACAUCAACACAAAGGAAUCAUGGUGGAUAC